UUAAUUGAUAAAUUUGUUUCCAGAGGUUCCAUUUGAGCCUUCCACAUGAGCUCAUUGAGAUUUCGCUCAUGCCGGAACCGAACAGCAGAAUGUCAUUCGAUAUUAUUGGCAGAAGCUCAUGGAUUUUAAAGUCACUCACCCCAUAAGCUAAUCAAGUGAAAGGGGUUUGGAAGUGGAUGGAACACAGCACCAGGUGUUAUUGAAGUGCUUAUCUGCUGCAGAAGUUUUUUUUUUGCUUCAGUAGUGAUGCAGUGUUGGGCUUAUCGACUUGAAGUAGACCUGCCAAACCGCGAUAGAACUGUUAAAAAUCGCAUUUCGACCUCAAAUCGAUCCUCGUGAACAAAUUCAGAUGCCAAUCAACCGAAGUCAUCCGAAACUAAAAGCCCAUGCACCGAAUCAUCUGCUUACCGUACCGAACUCGAUAUGCAAUUGAGGUUAACAUAGAGGUGGUACGCUUCGACACAUUCGGGGAAACCAAAGGAAUUUCCAGAAUUAGACAAAUUCUUGCUAAGGAGCAACACACAAGAACUGAAUGUCCUCAAAAGCAUUGUAAAUGAAACCACUUCCGUUAGAUUCGUUUUCCUUUUCCUAGCGGUCGUGGGGGAAAUUUAUAUCUGCAACAGGAUGUUGUGAUUCCUGAUAAAUCGAGUCCAGUCGAGUGAUUUUCCUGCCCAC